GUUCUCCUGGUGCUGGGGAUUGUGCUUCAUGUGUUGUUUGGUGUAUGGUACAUUCGUCAUAUGGCCUGCAACCGCACAACAGUGUUGAAGCUCUAUUUGAAGAGUCAUUAGUGAAUAAGGCAUUGAAGCCCAUUCAUAAAAAAGGUACAUGGUAAUUGAGGAAGUUGGGGAUGGUACCUUUGGAACUGUAUUGCAAGCUGUAUACAAGCUAACUGGUGAGGUGGUAAGUGCCUUCAAACUUCUCAAAUGCAAUGCAGUGUCCUUACUCAUAUUAAAGAAUUUUUUUAGUUGCUUACUUGAUUGCUAGUUUAACUGGUUGUGGUUUUUUCUUGGCAUGUUGUGGGUUUGUUGUAUAUGAAGUUCAAUCAAUAAUGGUA